CUGACCCUGAAUCAAGGCCGGCAGCUUCCUAAUGAUGUUGGUUUCAAGCAGGAGCCUAAAGAGAUGUCUUUCUAUGGUCUGUUUGCCAUUUCAGAACUUGGGCAGUGAAAUGGUCAAUUCAUUAGAAAGAAACAGCU
ensembl:snoRNA